GGGGCCGAGUCGUCUCGGUCUCGGCCGAGACUUCGAACCAUGUUCCUAAUCUUAAAAUUGCGUUAAUAGUGGAGGCAAGGAAUUUCUGAGGGGGACACGUACCCAAAUGUUUGCCAUUUCUGUGAACUUGUCUUUCAAUUUCAUUUGCCAACGGUCAUAGGUUUCUAAUACAAAUAAUGAACUACGAACUUAAAAGCCUAUUUUCUUGACCCUAACUUAUCAUGACGCACAAAAUGCCAUAAGCAGAGCAUAAUCUAUUGAUUAACACACGCGGCCAGCUAUAAACCCUCGUAGUAUUACCUA
rnacentral:lncRNA from 1 species